GAGGAGUCAUUUGGGGGGUUUUGAGUGAAAUACUAUCUCUAGAACUAUACAAUACACCAACCACCCGAUUUAUGAACGAACUUCGUACGAACCUGAAUUGUCCGAUUUGAAGGACCAAUCGGUAUCGGAUUGAGUCCAAAACUUGGGCAACAUCAUAAUAUUGGGGGAGGAGUCAUUUGGUGGGUUUUGAGUGAAAUCCAAUCUCCAGAACUAUACAAUACACCAACCACCGCAUUUCAGAACGAACUUCGUACGAACCUGAAUUGUCCGAUUUCAAGGACUAAUCGAUAUCGGAUUGAGUCCAAAACUUGGGGAACAUCAUCAUAUUGUGGGAGGAGUCAUUUGGUGGGUUUUGAGUGAAAUCCAAUCCCUAGAACUAUACAAUACACCAACCACCCCAUGUAUGAACGAACUUCGUAUGAACCUGCAUUGUCCGAUUUGAAGGACCAAUCGGUAUCGGAUUGACUCCAAAACUUGGGGAACAUCAUAAUAUGUGGAGGAGUCAUUUGGAUGGGUUUUGAGUGAAAUUCCAAUCUCUAGAACUAUACAAUACCCCACCACCCCAUUUCAUACGACUUCGUACGACACAGAAUUGUCCGAUUUCAAGGACCAAUCGAUAUCGGAUUGAGUCCAAACUUGGGGAACAUCAUAAUAUUGUGGGAGGAGUCAUUUGGUGGGUUUUGGGUGAAAUCCAAUCUCUAGACAUAUACAAUACACCAACCAUCCCAUUUCAAAACGAACUUCGUACGAACCUGAAUUGUCCGAUUUCAAGCCCCAAUCAAUAUCGGAUUGAGUCCAAAACUUGGGAACAUCAUAAUAUUGUGGGAGGAGUCAUUUGGUGGGUUUUGAGUGAAAUCUAAUCUCUAGAACUAUACAAUACACCAACCACCCCAUUUCAAAACGAACUUCGUACAAACCUGAUUGGCCGAUUUCAAGGACUAAUCGAUAUCGGAUUGAGUCCAAUACUUGGGGAACGUCAUAAUAUUGUGGGAGGAUUCAUUUGGUGGGUUUUGAGUGAAAUCCAAUCUCUAGAACUAUACAAUACACCAACCACCCCAUUUCGGAAUGAACUUCAAACGAACCUGAAU
rnacentral:lncRNA from 1 species